rnacentral:rRNA from 1 species
GACGAACGCUGGCGGCGUGCUUAACACAUGCCAGUCGAACGGAAAGGCCCUGCUUUUGUGGGGUGCUCGAGUGGCGAACGGGUGAGUAACACGUGAGUAACCUGCCCUUGACUUUGGGAUAACUUCAGGAAACUGGGGCUAAUACCGGAUAGGAGCUCCUGCUGCAUGGUGGGGGUUGGAAAGUUUCGGCGGUUGGGGAUGGACUCGCGGCUUAUCAGCUUGUUGGUGGGGUAGUGGCUUACCAAGGCUUUGACGGGUAGCCGGCCUGGGAGGGUGACCGGCCACAUUGGGACUGGGAUACGGGCCAGACUGCUACGGGAGGCAGCAGUGGGGAAUAGUGCACAAUGGGCGGAAGCCUGAUGCAGCAACGCCGCGUGCGGGAUGACGGCCUUCGGGUUGUAAACCGCUUUCGCCUGUGACGAAGCGUGAGUGACGGUAAUGGGUAAAGAAGCACCGGCUAACUACGUG